CUCCCUUAAGCUCUAAAAAAAUAAUAUAGUGUAGUGAUUCUGUCUAAAAAACGCUGACAAAGAAUGCAUCUACUUCCUAGUAAAUUCUACAGCUGGAAGGAAGUUUCUAGAGGCACCUCAGCACUGACUUCAGUACCCAUCACUCCACAACUCAAGGAUGGAAACCUUGAACGUCUGAAUUUGCUGAACUGCUUGAGAUGAGAGUUGGGGGUAUAACUCAAGGCUAGAAACAGCUGAGAAACAGCAUGAGACAGAAUCCCUUGAGAAGGAGGUGAUCAGCUAUUUCUCUCUUCUCAUUUCAUCUUAAUUCUUGAUGACAUCCGUUGUGGACUCUUCUUUUUUGCCCUUUGCUGGAUGGUAGGUGGAGGACAGUUAUCAGAGCUGCAGAGAAGGAAAUAACCUGUCUGGCAUCAGACACUGAUCCUGUUACCAUCUAAUCCACACAGCGGCAGUGGGAGAGCAGAGCAGGAGCCACGAUGGCGGGGGCCAUGGCAGGACAAGCAUUUAGAACGUUUCUCUGCUCCUUGACUGAGUAUUGGUUGAAAGGCAUGCACCCGAAACCCUGCACUCAAAGCCAUGACAUGAGGGACUUGGAUAACAAAUACUUGGAUAAUGAAAACAUCCAAUAAUUAAUGUGCCACCUACUCACCAGGAUCAUGGCCCAACAGGGAAAUGUGGAACAAAGCUCUCCUCAAGGGGAAAGAAAAUGGGAUACACGGCUUGGAAAACCUUCACUAACACUCCCAUAUGAAGAGUGAUAGAAUGCUAAUUUCCCACAGAUUCAUUAUCACCAUGAAAUGAAAUUUUGGAACACAUCACAGAAUGUGCUUGCCUGUGAUUUCAAGAAAUCUACUUCUCAGCAGUUGAGGUUGGACUCAGAUUUUUUUAUGUACUAGAAACCAAUUUUCCUGUAAUGAAAUUCAUUUGUCUCUGAAAUCAACUGUGCCAUGUACUGUACCAUAGUGUAAGUAUGAGUGGAUGGCACUACUAUGACAGAGUAGGGGGCAGCAUGGUUUUGGACAUUUGGGGUCUUGUAUCUCUCAAUUUAUAGCCUAUAUUCAUAAGACAGCAGAAUAACAACAACCAACACUUACCAAGUGCCCGAAAUGUCUUAACUCAUUUAAGUU
rnacentral:lncRNA from 1 species